rnacentral:rRNA from 1 species
CCGCAUAAGCCCACGGGUCGGCAUCGACCAGAGGGAAAAGGAGCAAUCCGCUUUGAGAUGGCCUCGCGUCCGAUUAGCUAGUUGGUGAGGUAAUGGCCCACCAAGGCGACGAUCGGUAGCCGGACUGAGAGGUUGAACGGCCACAUUGGGACUGAGACACGGCCCAGACUCCUACGGGAGGCAGCAGUGGGGAAUAUUGCACAAUGGGGGAAACCCUGAUGCAGCGACGCCGCGUGGAGGAAGAAGGUCUUCGGAUUGUAAACUCCUGUUGUUGAGGAAGAUAAUGACGGUACUCAACAAGGAAGUGACGGCUAACUACGUGCCAGCAGCCGCGGUAAAACGUAGGUCACAAGCGUUGUCCGGAAUUACUGGGUGUAAAGGGAGCGCAGGCGGGAAGACAAGUUGGAAGUGAAAUCCAUGGGCUCAACCCAUGAACUGCUUUCAAAACUGUUUUUCUUGAGUAGUGCAGAGGUAGGCGGAAUUCCCGGUGUAGCGGUGGAAUGCGUAGAUAUCGGGAGGAACACCAGUGGCGAAGGCGGCCUACUGGGCACCAACUGACGCUGAGGCUCGAAAGUGUGGGUAGCAAACAGGAUUAGAUACCCUGGUAGUCCACACCGU